ACCAUCGUGCCACAUCGUAUACCUGUUUGCCCUCAACGCUGGUAGAAUUUUCCUCGUCCCACACACAACGUCGUUAACAACGCUGAUCACGAAGUGGCUUGGUAGGCGUGGAGAAGUGAGGGUUUUAAGGCAAAAUUUUGCAAAGGUGCAAAAUUUGCAAACCACAUUUUUUUUUAACUUUUGAAAAGGGAGGUUCAACCCAGUUGAGUCUCUGUUCCGUGGCCGUUGGUGAAUCGCCUCCUGAAAUUCGGGGCGUGGAGUUGGAUCCGGAUAUGAUGACAGUGGGUGUAUUGUGGUUUUGGAUACUCCGAUAGGUUACCCGCUCCAACGUCAAGUUGUACACAAACCCUAGCAUUGGGCUGAAUUUGGUACUAAUUAAUGUUGAGAUAUUUGGAGUGAAAAAGAAAGAAGGCAAGAGAUGAGUGUGCUCUGUUUAGCCGGAAAUGUGAUCCAUAGAAUAAUCAAAAUUAGACAUUCUAAAUUAACUUACGUUUGCUGAUCGAUCACACUCCUUCCUUUGCUUGCUUGCAGCGAUGGGUUUUGCCAGAUUCUCAUCUUUCUCUUAGUGAUUAUGGAGAGGUUACCAAACUGCCCCUUAGAGGAAAGAACGCCCCACUUAGAGGAAAUACACUAGAGGAAACAAUUGACCAUCUAUACCACCUCUCGUUGGGAUAUACACUUGGCUUGAGCGCUUUCAAAGCAUAAAUCUUAAUCUUUCAAUACUGUAGUUACUCCCAUUGAGGCCUGUAACUAGAUCUUCCAUGUGGAGAUAAUCUUUGAGGUACUUAGAGGUGAAGAUGUUUUGAAGCGAGGUUGGCUACUUUCAAUCUUGAGGACGAAGCAUAGAGCUUGUGGGAAGCUUUGAAGCACUCUAGAGGGGGUUAUGCUUAUGCUGCAACUCUCCCUUGUGCUGAUUUCCGUAACAUAUGAACCAUCUUUGGGUACCAUUCGAAUACGUUGCACAUUUGUACCAGUUGGGGACUAGGGAAUGAACAGACCGAUGAAAAUUGUAGGCAAACACGGGCAUGACAACUGGACAAAGACAGUUUUGUUCAACUGUUCUCGAGUUUUUCUCGGAGGGGACGUGAGCGAAAAGGAUGGAAAGCUAUCAACUUUGCAGUUAUGCGCUUCUAAUCCACACUUUUUUUUACUUUUACUUUUUUAACACUAGUGACUAGUGUGACGAAUGUUGUGUUAAUAUAGGUAUAUUUCGAUUGUACAUCA